GACGGAGGAUGCAAGCGUUAUCCGGAAUGAUUGGGCGUAAAGCGUCCGCAGGUGGCAGUUCAAGUCUGCUGUCAAAGACCGGGGCUUAACUUCGGAAAGGCAGUGGAAACUGAACAGCUAGAGUAUGGUAGGGGCAGAGGGAAUUCCUGGUGUAGCGGUGAAAUGCGUAGAGAUCAGGAAGAACAUCGGUGGCGAAGGCGCUCUGCUGGACCAUAACUGACACUCAGGGACGAAAGCUAGGGGAGCGAAUGGGAUUAGAAACCCCCGUAGUCC
rnacentral:rRNA from 1 species